rnacentral:rRNA from 1 species
UACGUAGGGGGCAAGCGUUUGUCCGGAAUUAUUGGGCGUAAAGAGCUCGUAGGCGGCCGCGCAAGUCUGGCGUGAAAGCCCCGGGCUCAGCCCGGGAAGGGCGCUCGAAACGGCGCGGCUCGAGUGCCGGAGGGGAGAGUGGAAUUCCUGGUGUAGCGGUGAAAUGCGUAGAUAUCGGGAGGAAUACCAGUGGCGAAGGCGGCCUUCUGGACGGAUACUGACGCUGAGGCGCGAAAGCCAGGGGAGCAAAGCGGG